ensembl:ncRNA ZK180.12 ncRNA
AGAGACUGGAGAAGCUCUGUGAGCCCUGCCCCCGGCCACACCCCUUUUUGGCGACUUGCCAAGACGGGCAGAAGCCGUAAUGUGGAAAGGCCUUAGAGAGAGGAGGAGCAGUGGUCUU